rnacentral:rRNA from 1 species
GAGUUUGAUCCUGGCUCAGAAUGAACGCUGGCGGCGUGCUUAACACAUGCAAGUCGUACGAGAACUCUUCUGCUUGCAGAAGAUAGUAAAGUGGCGCACGGGUGAGUAACGCGUGGGUAAUCUACCUUCGAAUUUGGGAUAACAUUGCGAAAGCGAUGCUAAUACCGGAUAAUAUCAUUUUUUCUUCGGAUUUAAUGAUCAAAGGUGGCCUCUACAUGUAAGCUACUGUUUGAAGAUGAGCCCGCGUACCAUUAGCUUGUUGGUGGGGUAAAGGCUUACCAAGGCUACGAUGGUUAGCUGGUCUGAGAGGAUGAUCAGCCACACUGGAACUGACACACGGUCCAGACUCCUACGGGAGGCAGCAGUGAGGAAUUUUGCGCAAUGGGGGAAACCCUGACGCAGCAACGCCGCGUGAGUGAUGAAGGCUUUCGGGUCGUAAAGCUCUGUCAAGUGGGAAGAACCUGUGAAGUGUUAAUAUCACUUUGCACUGACGGUACCAAUAAAGGAAGCACCGGCUAACUCCGUGCCAGCAGCCGCGGUAAUACGGGGGGUGCAAG